AACGAACGCUGGCGGCAGGCCUAACACAUGCUAGUCGAGCGCGCCCUUCGGGGUGAGCGGCGGACGGGUGAGUAACGCGUGGGAACGUGCCCUUUUCUACGGAAUAGCCUCGGGAAACUGAGAGUAAUACCGUAUACGCCCUUUGGGGGAAAGAUUUAUCGGAAAAGGAUCGGCCCGCGUUGGAUUAGGUAGUUGGUGGGGUAAUGGCCUACCAAGCCGACGAUCCAUAGCUGGUUUGAGAGGAUGAUCAGCCACACUGGGACUGAGACACGGCCCAGACUCCUACGGGAGGCAGCAGUGGGGAAUCUUAGACAAUGGGGGCAACCCUGAUCUAGCCAUGCCGCGUGAGUGAUGAAGGCCUUAGGGUUGUAAAGCUCUUUCAGCUGGGAAGAUAAUGACGGUACCAGCAGAAGAAGCCCCGGCUAACUCCGUG
rnacentral:rRNA from 1 species